GUCCACCUGGCCUCCAGCCGCGCUCUGAGCUGACCGAGCCUGCGACCGGUUCAAGAUACUUCAAAAAGCUCAGGGACCACCAGAUGAGAUCAGGGUCAACACUCACUGGAUUUUGUGAACCCGAGAGCAGAAGCCAAAUAUAUCCACAGCACUCUCCAAUGUAUGAGUGACCUCAUCAGGAGCCUUUUCCCCAGGGAAACCAAAGACACAGAAGAAGGAGCAGUCCUAUGAGGGAGAGAGUCAGCAAACACAGCUAGUGCAUGGUGACCUUUAAAGGUGACCAACCAGAAGGCCCAGUGGAAGAGAUGUUCAAGGCAUUUAAUCAAAUUAUCCUCCAUUCCCUGUUUCCCCAAUGCAACUGUUUGAAAUUCCUGCCCACUCACUGGAACCUGCUGCCCUUGAUGCUGAGAAGUAAAGCAACAGGGAUUAUGAGCCAAAAACUGCCUUUCUAAGGCUUUGGAGCUGCUGUGGCCUUUGGAGUGGCAGGAGUGAAAGAGGAGGGGGUGGUUGACCAGUGCAGUCAGGAUAGUGGGCCAGGGCAUGGAGCAGGUGUGGGGUGGGUGCUGGGCCUGUUGAACACUGACCAGGGCCAGGCAUCGUGGCAGCAGCUGCUGAGUGCCAAGGGCAGGUUGUUGGACAGACUACUGGACAUCCAGGCUGGUACAGUGCGGCUGCUGAGAAAAAUGCUUUACAUAAUAAGGAAGUUAGGAUUCAAAGAUCUAUUAACAAGAAAGAAAAGGUGCAACUUAGAGGAGGUCCAAGUUGGAGCAACUUAAAGCUUGAAAAUCUGAAGAGGCACAUAAAUUGGGACCAUCACCUUUGCUUCUAGAGAUUUUAACAAGAACUAGCAUUUCUUUAUCCAAGAUGACAAUUUCCACACCUGAUUUAUCAACACUUCAUAACCGCUCCAGCCAUUUCUCUGGCCACUAUGAAACUGUCAAAAGAAAUGCACCCUAAUUUCGGACCCAAGUGCAUUUUUUGGGAGAGAGAGAUUCAGAGUUGAUUCGCAGCAGAUUCAUUUAGCUCUAGUAAAUGUUUACUCUCUAAAGUGGAAAAUAGUAUAAGUAGAAUUUCUCUUUUAGGGGUCUCUCUUAGAAGUCAUUAUCCUGGGUGAUGGAUCCAUUGCUGACUUGUCCGAGGUGAUGUUUUGCUACAGAGUGCAUGGAGAGAACAGUAUGAAGGCACAGUAGCAUGUAUGAAAUUUGAAAUUUGCUGUGUGGAACCUUGGGUAACAGAAGAUGCAGUUGAUUAGAGUUUUGUUUGAAAAGAGAGGAAACAAGUCUCCAUCAGGGAUGCCUUUAAACACCAAGACAAACAAUAAUAUGCUCCUCAUAUGUAUCCACAGCCAACCUGAAUCUCUUCCAUCUUUGACAACAGCAGCCAUAAAACGAAGAGAAAUCAGUAUCUGAAGGAUAAUCUCAUUCACAAAGCAAGCAUUCACUCACUCUCAUUCAUGAAGCUUUAUACACUAGAGGCUAAAAACAGACCUAGGCUUCUGUAAGCAAGACUGUCAAUAACCAAGGAUUCUCCCACUGACACUCCUCUGUCCCCAUCAUUGAUGGACAUUUUGUAUGUUCUGAAUUGGCAUCUCCACCAGAUGUGGAGGCAGAUGGUGACAAUAAUCAUAAUCACAGUUUUAAUCAAAAUUAUGAUAGCAGCUACAAUUUAUUGAGCUCUUAAUUUAUGUCAGGUACCAUGGUAAGCACUGUAUUAAAAUGGUGUAAUCCCAACGAAAAGUUCCCAGAAACACAGGUACGAUCGCUACUCUCCUGAUAAGAGAUGAAAACAAAAAAAAACAAAACAAAACAGAACAAAACAAGAACAGACUUGGAGAGCUUACAGACUUGGCAAAAUUUGCAGAGCUAAGAACUGACAGAACCUUGACCAAAAUAAAGCCUGCUAGACUCAGGAGUCUGAGCUCCUAAAACAGAUUUAUCAAUCUCUAUGUGGAUACAUGUUAUCGACAGAGGACUCUGGAAAGAAAAAAAUCAGGAAACACUAAAAAAGUAAAGCCUGAGGAUGAAUGCUUCCUUGUGCUAAUCUCUCUCCAUGUAAGAUUGUGGCUGAACUGGCACAUCCGCUGGGCCCUAUGUUAGCUCCUCUGCUGGUCUGAUCCGUUGGAUGGCAGUGGGCCACGUGGAUAUCCCCACUGCCCUCAGGGAGUGCGUGCCCAACCUGUAUUUGGCAGGCAAGGACAAGGAGAAACAGGAGUGCAGCUGUGCGAGCGGGGAUCUUCCUUUGUGUGCAGAGGCCCACAUGUAUUUUGAUCAGCUGUUCCAAACUCUGUUGACAUACACAUUUAAGAAGAGGCAAUCUUCCAAAAAGAUACUGGGUUAGCCAUCUCACAAAGAUUUCACAGUUAGGCUUUAAGAAA